UACGUAGGGACCGAGCGUUGUCCGGAAUCAUUGGGCGUAAAGAGCGUGUAGGCGGCCACUUAAGUCCUGCGUGAAAUCUUGCGGCUCAACCGCAAGCGGUCGUGGGAAACUGGGUGGCUAGAGUGCGGGAGAGGAGAGUGGAAUUCCUGGUGUAGCGGUGGAAUGCGCAGAUAUCAGGAGGAACACCCGGGGCGAAGGCGGCCCUCUGGCUCGACCCUGACGCUGAGGCGCGAAAGCGUGGGGAGCGAACGGG
rnacentral:rRNA from 1 species